GUAAUCCGAUUUAAAUAUCGAGUCUCCUUGUUUCGACUUAAGCUGGCAAUUGGAUUGCCAGCUUUCUUUU
rnacentral:sRNA from 1 species